GUCGCUGCACAUUCAGCGACCGGGUGUGGAAGCCCGUGCAAAUCAAGGCGCACAAGCGCCACCAUACCGAAUGCAGGCGCUAUUUUU
rnacentral:sRNA from 1 species